rnacentral:RNase_P_RNA from 1 species
GUCAGAGAGUGAGUAGUCGCUUUUUAAAGAGGAAAGUCCGGGCUCUAUAGAAAGAAGGUGCUGGAUAACUUCCAGCAGGGGUAACCCUAGGGAAAGUGCCACAGAAAAUAUACCGCCAUUUUGGUAAGGGUGAAAUGGUGUGGUAAGAGCGCACCGCAUUUCUAGUAAUAGAAAUGGCAUGGUAAACCCCACCUAGAGCAAGACCAAAUAGGAGAAACAAAUUUUGUCUUUCUACAAAGUUUCUCGGGUAGGUCGCUAGAAAAGUUUGGUAACAAAUUUUCAAGAUGAAUGACUACAAUCAAAAUUUAGAUACAAAACCCGGCUUACAACUCUCUGACACUA